rnacentral:tRNA from 3 species
GGUGGCGUGUCCGAGCGGCCGAAGGAGCACGCCUCGAAAGCGUGUGAGGUUCAUAGCCUCCGUGGGUUCAAAUCCCACCGCCACCGCCA